AUACUACUAUACACUGUAGUUAAAAGUUCUGGAUAAAAGAACAGAUUGAAGUGUUACCAUGGUUCAUCUAUAAAAGUGGGAUGCUGUUUGGAUAAUCUGGACAGUGUGGGAUUGCUGAGGGUGUAUCAAAAAUGGAGUACACUGAUAAGGAGGAACAUAAUGAA